rnacentral:rRNA from 1 species
CGGUAAUUCCAGCUCCAAUAGCGUAUACUAAGGUUGUUGCAGUUAAAAAGCUCGUAGUUGGAUUUCUGCGGGGACGGAGCGGCCGGACGCAACUUGCGUCUCGAGCUAGCGCUUUCCCCACAUCCUGCCGCGAACCGUGCUACCAUUAGUUUGGUGGCGCUGGGGAUCGGCUCGAUUACUUUGAGAAAAAUAGAGUGUUCAAAGCAGGCCACACGCCUUGAAUAAGUUAGCAUGGAAUAAUGACUAAGGACUUUGGUUCUUUUCGUUGGUGUUCGGGACUGAAGUAAUGAUUGAUAGGGACAGUUGGGGCGGUCCGUAUUCCAAAGCGAGAGGUGAAAUUCUUAGACCUUCGGAAGACGAACAGCUGCGAAAGCGUUCCGCAAGGAUGUUCCCUUUGAUCAAGAACGAAAGUUGGGGGAUCGAAGACGAUCAGAUACCGUCGUAGUCUCAACUAUGAACUAUACCAGCUAGGGAUCGGCCAACGUUUAAUUAUUCGACUUGGUCGGCACCUUAUGAGAAAUCAAAGCAUCUGGGUUCCGGGGGGAGUAUGGUCGCAAGGCUGAAACUUAAAGGAAUUGACGGAAGGGCACCACCAGGCGUGGAGCCUGUGGCUUAAUUUGACUCAACACGGGAAAACUUACCAGGUCCAGACAUAGGAAGGAUUGACAGAUUGAUAGCUCUUUCUUGAUUCUGUGGGUGGUGGUGCAUGGCCGUUUUUAGUCGGUGAAGUGAUUUGUCUGCUUAAUUGCGUUAACGGACGAGACCCCAGCCUGCUAAAUAGCGCGGCCGAGCUUUGUUCGGUGCGAGCUUCUUAGAGGGACCAUGAUGCGCGAUAGCACAAGGAAGUUUGGGGCAACAACAGGUCUGUGAUGCCCUUAGAUGUUCUGGGCCGCACACGGGCUACACUGGCGCCUGCAACGAGCAUAUCAGCUGGCCCGAGAGGGUCUUGGCUAAUCUUUGGAACCGGCGCCGUGCUUGGGAUUGACCAUUGCAAUUGUUGGUCAUGCAACGAGGAAUGCCUUGUAAACGCGAGUCAUCAGCUCGCAUUGAAUACGUCCCUGCCCUUUGUACACACCGCCCGUCGCUCCUACCGAUGAAUGUUCCGAUGAAAUUUUCGGAGAGCGCCGGAGAACGGGGCUCUGCCCUGCAGAACUGGAGGCUCAAAGUCACUUAAAUCUGAACAUUUCGAGGAAGGAGAAGUCGUAACAAGGUAGCCG